UAAAAUUUGAGUCCACAAAUUAACACUUCACAGUCUCAUCAUUGGAAGAAACCAGAAAUAUACUUCCAGUGCUUUGGUGUCAUCAAGAAUAUACUGAAGAGGAAAUAGAACUCAGAUAUGGGAAGAAAGUACUUAUGUGAUCCAGCAGCGGUUAUGCCUGGUGUAGAGACAAAAUAUAUGUGCUGCUUUCCAAUGAGCCAGUUUAAAUUCACCGCUCAUGAUGGAGGCAAAAUUAAUAUGUGA
rnacentral:lncRNA from 10 species